rnacentral:lncRNA from 1 species
GAAUAUUGGUGGUGAAAGCUCUUCCUCUUUCUGAGGGCAUAAAGGCACCUUUACCACAUUUUUGCUCCCUGCUGAGCCUUGAGACGGGAGAGCUGGGGGUGGUGGGGGCCAGAUGAAAUCUGAAAUCCAGCCCCAACCUUGCAAUGGGGGCUCGGUGAUGCUCCAGACCUUGCUUUGACCCUUCCCGUGGGCAAACCCAUCCUGAGCAAAUUUUUUGACCGGUGCCUGUUUAUUAGCUCAGCGGGAGUGAAAACCUGCCAAGAACGUGGAGAGGAAGCAGGGGAGCAAUCCUCUCUUAUCUCCUUGGAAAUAAUGCGGCCAGGAAUGCUUGCUCCUUCUUGAAGCUUUAAAUUUAUGAAAGUGAACAAUAAUUUUGCAGCCUCUGAGAGUGAAAUGUGGGGGGAACAAACGCACCUUAUUGACUUUUUUAGCUGGAGCAGCGCGGGGAACAUUACUUUGAGCUGCAUCGCGCUAAGCUCGAAUCCCAGGAGAUGUCUUUGUUGAUGCAUAAGCUGUGACCUAAAAUAUUGACUUUAUAAAGUAAUUGAAUCCCAGAAUCAUGUUUCAGAUGAAAAGCGCUUGACAAAUGACUGUAGGAAGGAGCCGAGCCUGAAGACUGGGGCACAGAUGUGUUGGGAUUUACACUGCUCAGCUCCUGCCUGCCUCUCCAGAAGAAAGUCCCCACCAGGCUGGCCCGAUCCAGGCUCUGGGUGAAUUAUGGGGACUGCAGAGGCCAUCUCCUAAUUCAGGCUAUCUGUCUUGGAGAAAGCUCAGAAGAGGGGGACGCUCCAGGGCAAGAUGGCAUUGUGGUGUUGGGAGCAGUAAGGCAUAAAGUCUGGAGUUGCCUCCUGCCUUGGGAGCCCGCGGAUUUUGGAAAUGGGCUGAGCCUGUGGGAUGGGUACCUGUGUUGCAAGAAACUCCAUGAGUGUUGGUGGUAACAGGGGUGAUGGUGCUGGGAAGGGAAGGAUGAAUUAAUCUCAUGUAGAAGGCCUAAUGAGGAGACAGUUUGUACUUAUUGACGGCUUUCAGGGGUAGUCUUCCUUCAUCUUGAGUGGUUGUGCCCUGAGGACUUCUAAUCCAGGAGAAAAAGGUAAGGAGAUGGUUGUUGGACCACUCCUGUCCAACUUGGCAGUAAACGUCCUGUCUUUGUGCUGGAAAACAUGAAAAUCCUCAAAGUUUCACUAGAGAUGUGUUCAGAAGAUGCUGUUGGGAGAGGGCUCUCUCCAGUGAUGUAACAAGCUGCAGUUUGCUUCAAACUUUAAGUAUUAUAAAUGUGGCUGAUGUAAUUCUAUUUCAAAAAGCCUUAGAGGCUUGCAAUAAUAAACAGAGCCUUUUAGUACCA